rnacentral:misc_RNA from 1 species
UACGGAGGGUGCAAGCGUUAUCCGGAUUUAUUGGGUUUAAAGGGUGCGCAGGCGGAGAUCUAAGUCAGUGGUGAAAUCCUACAGCUUAACUGUAGAACUGCCAUUGAUACUGGUUCUCUUGAAUAUGGUUGAAGUGGGCGGAAUGUGUCAUGUAGCGGUGAAAUGCAUAGAUAUGACACAGAACACCGAUAGCGAAGGCAGCUCACUAAGCCAUUAUUGACGCUCAUGCACGAAAGCGUGGGGAGCGAACAGG